AUUGAACGCUGGCGGCAUGCUUUACACAUGCAAGUCGAACGGCAGCACGGACUUCGGUCUGGUGGCGAGUGGCGAACGGGUGAGUAAUACAUCGGAACGUACCCAGUAAUGGGGGAUAACUAGUCGAAAGAUUAGCUAAUACCGCCAACGCCCUACGGGGGAAAGAGGGGGAUCGCAAGACCUCUUGUUAUUGGAGCGGACGAUGGCUGAUUAGCUAGUUGGUGGGGUAAAGGCCUACCAAGGCGACGAUCAGUAGCGGGUCUUAGAGGACGAUCCGCCACACUGGAACUGAGACGCGGUCCAGACUCCUACGGGAGGCAGCAGUGGGGAAUCGUGGACAAUGGGCGAAAGCCUGAUCCAGCAAUGCCGCGUGCGUGAAGAAGGCCUUCGGGUUGUAAAGCGCUUUUGUCUGGGAGCAAAUCCUUGUGGCUAAUACCCACCGGGGAUGAGAGUACCAGAAGAAUAAGGACCGGCUAACUACGUGCCAGCCGCCGCCGUAA
rnacentral:rRNA from 1 species